CCGAAAAUCAGCUGACAGCGAACCAGUUCACUGCAACUAUCAUGUGGGCCCGCCCCUGCGCUUUACCUCCCUAUAUCUUCUCAGCUGACUAGUGCGGCACAGUGGAUUACCGCUUCUUAGCUGUGUUAUUUGAGUGCUGUGCACAUGUGCAUAGCGCGCAAUCAACCAACCAGUUGUUAAACCUGGAAAAUCCCACCCCUGAAACAGCCAUGUUCCUUCAAUUACAUCUUUCCUCUUGAUCUUAUGUUAUUCUUGUGCCUGAUACAUUCAUCUCAAAGGGUCAGCUGAAGGAAAGAAACCUGUUCUGGGAUGGUGAGAUUUAAGCAAGAAACACCCAGGAAGUCUGACAAACUGAGGAGCAAAGGUGCCACAACCCUUUAUUACCGGAACUAAAUUAGUGAAAGAUUUAAGUCAGCGAGAGUCACAGUUGUAGCUGUGUUCAAAGGUCAUCAAAGCUCAACCCACUGCUCGAAGGAGGAACUAGCUGGAGAUAGAUUUUAUACUCCUAAAAAGGGAAAACUCCAGACUGAAUUUCCCACAAAAUGGCCUGAUUCAGUGAUGGGAUUCUACCAAUUUCCCUACUGGUUCGAUGAUCGCGCACUUUGCACGUGCACGCACACCUAACAUGCACGUGUGCACAGGUUUUCACAUACCAGC